rnacentral:rRNA from 1 species
UUGCCAGCCCGCUCAGAAACUCAAAGGAAUUGACGGGGCCCGCACAAGCGGUGGAGCAUGUGGUUUAAUUCGAUGAUACGCGAGGAACCUUACCUGGGCUCGAACGUAAGAUGACUGUAGGUGAAAGCUUACAUCUCUUCGGAGCAUUUUACGAGGUGCUGCAUGGUUGUCGUCAGCUCGUGCCGUGAGGUGUCGGGUUAAGUCCCAUAACGAGCGCAACCCCUACCUUUAGUUGCCAUCAGGUUAAGCUGGGGACUCUAAAGGAACUGCCUACGCAAGUAGUGAGGAAGGCGGGGAUGACGUCAAAUCAGCACGGCCCUUACGUCCAGGGCUACACACGUGCUACAAUGGCCGAUACAGAGGGCAGCUACCUGGUGACAGGAUGCAAAUCUCCAAAGUCGGUCUCAGUUCGGAUCGGAGUCUGCAACCCGACUCCGUGAAGUUGGAUUCGCUAGUAAUCGCGCAUCAGCCAUGGCGCGGUGAAUACGUUCCCGGGCCUU